rnacentral:rRNA from 1 species
CAGUAGCCACGGUAAUACGUAGGGUGCAAGCGUUAAUCGGAAUUACUGGGCGUAAAGCGUGCGCAGGCGGUUUGUUAAGACAGAUGUGAAAUCCCCGGGCUCAACCUGGGAACUGCAUUUGUGACUGGCAAGCUAGAGUGUGGCAGAGGGGGGUGGAAUUCCGCGUGUAGCAGUGAAAUGCGUAGAUAUGCGGAGGGACACCGAUGGCGGAGGCAGCCCCCUGGGCCAACACUGACGCUCAUGCACGAAAGCGUGGGGAGCAAACAGGAUUAGAUACCCCUGUAGUCCCUGUCUCUUAUAC